rnacentral:lncRNA from 1 species
AUUCAUUGAGAAUCCAUAAUUCGAAGGCAGUUGCUUGCAGUUCCUAUCACUUCCACUGGAUGUCAACAGUCUUUAGAAAUUGGUUGAUGUUUUUCCUUUGUGUAAUGUAGAAGUAGCCCUGUUCAGAAUGAGGCUCAAGGGAAGUAUGCUGUUUGAUAGAGGCGCGUGACCUGAAAAGCAUGCUCCACUUUGUUUUCCUCCGGUAUUGAACACAGUUUAUCCCAUCUUAAAUUUUCAAUUAUUUAUGUAAAAAAAAGACCUAAAGUUGUAUUAGGAAAGUUGUUUGAAAUGUUUGGACAAAGAUUACAGGUAACUUGAGAUAUUUUGUAGUCAUGUUGCGUGAGUUGGAACCGGUGUUUUUCUGGAUCAAACACACCAAAUAAAUGGACAUUUUGGAUAUAUAACGACGGAAUUAAUCGAACAAAAGGACCAUUUGUGAUGUUUAUGGGACAUAUUGGAGUGCCAACAGAAGAAGGUCGUCAAAGCCCUCAUCGUCAAUUUCCACCACCGGCACACCAGUCCACCAGGUAUAUGCCCAGAGGACCUGAGCCCUAGGACCAUGCCUCAGGACUACCUGGCCUGAUGACUCCUUGCAGUCCACCUGGUCGUGCUGCUGCUCCAGUUUCAACUGUUCUGCCUGCGGCUAUGGAACCCUGACCUGUUCACCGGAUGUGCUACCUUGUCCCAGACCUGCUGUUUUCGACUCUCUCUCUACCGCACCUGCUGUCUCUAACUCUGAAUGCUUGGCUAUGAAAAGCCAACUGACAUUUACUACUGAGAUUUCCCUCUUCUGCAGGGCCAAGAGGACCUGGGCUUGAUGUCCGUGAUCCUCCACAGAGGCGAGGGAUUUCUAAAGUCUUACGGAGGACUUGAGACAGACACCUUGCAAAUUCCAAAGAAAAAAUAACUGCGGUGCUUGGAUCCAGUUGGUUAAACUAGUCAAGGAGGUGGAAGAAAAUCCCACAAUCCCUUGCUCUACCUCCCUCUGCGCUGAACAUCCACACCUGCUCUCAUACAUCAAACAGAUACAAUAUCAGUGGUCUUCCUCUGAGGCCUUUUCAAGGUGCAGUGGAGGUCUUAAACCAUGUGCCAAUCCAUCCUUUCCCUCAGCACAGGGUCAACCAGUGCACCCACCCACCACAACGAGGUAGGAGGGUCCCUCUUCUCACCCUUUCACUCGCUGCAAAUACAUGGCUGCCUCAUUUUCAACCAAUAAAGCACAUGGGGCCUGAGAGCUCAACCAAGCAGCUUGAACCACUGACUAUGGGGCCUGAGAGCUCAACCAAGCAGCUUGAACCACUGACUAUGGGGCCUGAGAGCUCAACCAAGCAGCUUGAACCACUGACUAUGGGGCCUGAGAGCUCAACCAAGCAGCUUGAACCACUGACUAUGGGGCCUGAGAGCUCAACCAAGCAGCUUGAACCACUGACUAUGGGGCCUGAGAGCUCAACCAAGCAGCUUGAACCACUGACUAUGGGGCCUGAGAGCUCAACCAAGCAGCUUGAACCACUGACUAUGGGGCCUGAGAUCUCAACCAAGCAGCUUGAACCACUGACUAUGGGGCCUGAGAUCUCAAGCAAGCAGCUUGAACCACUGACUACGUUUUGUGAAGCAUGACUACUACGCCCAACAAAUGCUGAGCCCAAAGCUGAUGGAGGAUAUGUAUAUGAAUGGCUUAUCUUUUACAAUCCUAUCAUAAUCUAGGGUUCAUUCGGAAGUUUUACAGAUAGUUACCAUAGUGUACGGGCAAGAGAUGUUACAGUUUGUGCAGCUGUCAUUACUAACAGUCGUUGCAAGAGUGCAGAUUGCUGCAGUGUGGAAACAUAUUCAAAAAUAAAUCUGUGAGUCUCUGAAAGCCGACAGCAGCAAGCAGUUCAUGUACCCAAUAAACCUGAAAAAACUGACUAUAAUUCGAUGCAGACACUGUCCAAAAGUACUCCACCACAGAGUAGAGGUGGACUCAUUGUAUCAAUAAAAUGCAAAAUAAUCCCUUGACUGUGCCUCUCAGCAAUCCUAUAAGCCCCUGUGUUCUGUGCAUGCACAAUAUUUAGCCUUUACGAUGAUGAGACUGACACUACGGGAAUGAAUAGCACUGAACAAGUACCAUCAGAGUGAGCAAGAUAAGGAGGAAGGAAGGAAGAGAUUUACAGAGAGAGAAGAUGAGAGCAGAGGGUGAUCAGAGGAGGACAGUUUAGAGGCGUUAAGCAGAAAUAUAGCACAUGGAACCAGAGGAAAAAGGAGAGAGUGCGAGAAGGGGAGGUAGGGUGUAGAGAGAGAGGGCUGGAGAUGGAUGGAGUGAGAAGCAUGACUUGCACAGUGAAAGGUUUUGACAGCACAAAGGGCGAGAGAGUGAGUGAUUCGACGAGAAAGAGACUUGCAUAGAGAGCUUGAGAGGAGAUGAGAGGAGAGAAGGAAAGUAGAGGGAGAAGGAAGGCGGUGCGGUGAAAGAUGACAUGUAGACCCUAGACAGAUUAUGGGGGGGGGGGGACAAAGGACAGUUUGGAAGUUGCAGAUAAGCAAUUAAACAUCCUGAACAGACAAGCGGUUGCAUUCAAGAAGGGGUAUAUUCAUGAGGUGGUAUGCUGCUAUGAUUUCAGGGUAUUAAAAUAAGUAAGCUUUAUUGCAUUGAUUAUUGGUGUGAUUGUUUGUAAUAUGUAAAUUAUAUUAUAUCACCUUUCUAAAUAAACAUGUGCAGUAUAAAGAGCAAACAUA